rnacentral:rRNA from 1 species
AUACCCUGGUAGUACACGCUGUAAACGAUGUCGACUUGGAGGUUGUGCCCUUGAGGCGUGGCUUCCGGAGCUAACGCGUUAAGUCGACCGCCUGGGGAGUACGGCCGCAAGGUUAAAACUCAAAUGAAUUGACGGGGGCCCGCACAAGCGGUGGAGCAUGUGGUUUAAUUCGAUGCAACGCGAAGAACCUUACCUACUCUUGACAUCCACGGAAUUCGCCAGAGAUGGCUUAGUGCCUUCGGGAACCGUGAGACAGGUGCUGCAUGGCUGUCGUCAGCUCGUGUUGUGAAAUGUUGGGUUAAGUCCCGCAACGAGCGCAACCCUUAUCCUUUGUUGCCAGCACGUAAUGGUGGGAACUCAAAGGAGACUGCCGGUGAUAAACCGGAGGAAGGUGGGGAUGACGUCAAGUCAUCAUGGCCCUUACGAGUAGGGCUACACACGUGCUACAAUGGCAUAUACAAAGAGAAGCGAACUCGCGAGAGCAAGCGGACCUCAUAAAGUAUGUCGUAGUCCGGAUUGGAGUCUGCAACUCGACUCCAUGAAGUCGGAAUCGCUAGUAAUCGUAGAUCAGAAUGCUACGGUGAAUACGUUCCCGGGCCUUGUACACACCGCCCGUCACACCAUGGGAGUGGGUUGCAAAAGAAGUAGGUAGCUUAAC